rnacentral:sRNA from 1 species
GUUUCUCCCUGCGGCUCCUGGGCUGUUGAGACUCGUAUGAAGAUGGCUUGCGCUGCCGCGCGGUCCCCGGCCGACCAGGACAGGUUUAUUUGUAUCUAUCCUGCUUAUUUAAAUAAUAAGAAGACCAUCGCAGAGGGAAGGCGAAUCCCCAUAAGUAAGGCUGUUGAAAAUCCUACAGCUACAGAGAUUCAAGAUGUAUGUUCAGCAGUUGGACUUAACGUAUUUCUUGAGGUAUGACAUAGUUCUUCACUAUUUUCCAUACUCAUCUAAUUGAUGUAAUAACUUUCUUAAGUCCUGUUUUUCUUUUCUUUCAUUUAUGUUAGAAAAAUAAAAUGUACUCUAGAGAAUGGAAUCGUGAUGUCCAAUACAGAGGCAGAGUCCGGGUCCAGCUCAAACAGGAAGAUGGCAGCCUCUGCCUUGUACAGUUCCCAUCACGUAAGGUUUUUUAAAUGAAUCAGUGGGGCUCAGGGAUAGGUUUCUCCUACACAACACAAAAAAGAUUCUAAAACUGAAAGGUAAAAGUCAGAAUUUGCAUUCUGAAGAUUAAUUUAAAGACAGGACUACUGCUCAUGGAGAGAAGCAGUAGUUCCAAUUUCUUUGAGGUGAACGACCUCUUUGAAAA